ACACUGCUGACGAGUUCCACAAUAGGACGAAACGGCCGUCCAGUGC
rfam:Schistosoma mansoni strain Puerto Rico chromosome 3, complete genome